GGUUCCAUAGAGUAAUGGUUAGCAUGUCUGCUUUACAUGCAGAAAGUCUAGGUUCAAGCCCCAGCGGAGCUA
rnacentral:tRNA from 1 species